rnacentral:rRNA from 1 species
AUUGAACGCUGGCGGCAGGCCUAACACAUGCAAGUCGAGCGGAUGAAGGGAGCUUGCUCCUGGUUUCAGCGGCGGACGGGUGAGUAAUGCCUAGGAAUCUGCCUGGUAGUGGGGGAUAACGUCCGGAAACGGGCGCUAAUACCGCCUACGUCCUGCGGGAGAAAGUGGGGGAUCUUCGGACCUCACGCUAUCAGAUGAGCCUAGGUCGGAUUAGCUAGUUGGUGGGGUUAAGGCCUACCAAGGCGACGAUCCGUAACUGGUCUGAGAGGAUGAUCAGUCACACUGGAGCUGAGACACGGUCCAGACUCGUACGGGAGGCAGCAGUCGGGAAGAUUGGACAAUUGGCGAAAGCCUGAUCCAGGCAGGCCGCGUGUGUGAAGAAGGUCUUCGGAUUGUAAAGCACUUUAAGUUGGUAGGAAGGGCAGUAAGUUAACACCUUGCUGUUUUGACGGUACCAACAGAAGAAGCACCGGCUAACUUCGUG